UAGGGAAUCUUCGGCAAUGGGGGCAACCCUGACCGAGCAACGCCGCGUGAGUGAAGAAGGUUUUCGGAUCGUAAAGCUCUGUUGUAAGAGAAGAACGUGUGUGAGAGUGGAAAGUUCACACAGUGACGGUAACUUACCAGAAAGGGACGGCUAACUACGUGCCAGCAGCCGCGGUAAUACGUAGGUCCCGAGCGUUGUCCGGAUUUAUUGGGCGUAAAGCGAGCUCAGGCGGUUUAAUAAGUCUGAAGUUAAAGGCAGUGGCUUAACCAGUGUGGGCGUAGAAGACUGUUAAACUUGAGGGCAGAAGGGGAGAGGGGAAUUCCAGGUGUAGCGGUGAAAUGCGUAGAGAUAUGGAGGAACACCGGUGGCGAAAGCGGCAGACUGGUCUGUAACUGACGCUGAGGCUCGAAAGCGUGGGGAGCGAACGGG
rnacentral:rRNA from 1 species